GUACCGUGAGGGAAAGGUGAAAAGAACCCCGAUAAGGGGAGUGAAAUAGACUUUGAAACCGUGUGCUUACAAACAGUCAGAGGGCUAUUGUAAAGCCUGAUGGCGUACCUUUUGCAUUAUGAGCCGCCGAGUUAUGGUGUGUAGCGAGAUUAAGCCGUUGAAGGUGUAGUCGUAGGGAAACCGAGUCUGAAUAGGGCGAUAGUUGCAUGCUGUAGACCCGAAACGGGAUGAGCUUACCAUGAGCAGGUUGAAGCGAGGGUAAAACUUCGUGGAGGACCGAACCCAUAUAGGUUGAAAACUGUUGGGAUGACUUGUGGUAAGGGGUGAAAGGCCAAUCAAAUUCCGUGAUAGCUGGUUCUCCUCGAAAUGCAUUUAGGUGCAGCGUCUAGUGUUUACCAUCGGGGGUAUAGCACUGAAUUGGCUAGGGGGCUCACCAGCUUACCAAACCAUAUCAAACUCAGAAUACCGAUGAGUAUAGCUAGGCAGUGAGACUAUGGAUGCUAAGGUCCAUAGUCGAAAGGGAAAGAGCCCAGACCAACAGCUAAGGUCCCUAAAUUGUCACUAAGUGGGAAAGGUUGUGGAACUACUGUGACAUCCAGGAGGUUGGCUUAGAAGCAGC
rnacentral:rRNA from 1 species